rnacentral:lncRNA from 1 species
AAAGAGACUCACCGUAGAGUGGCUGCAGUUGGAUUCACUUCACUAACGGAUUUGAAUCUGACCGUAAAGAAGCAAAUCUAACGGUCGCGAAUAACUAGAUCGUUUUGGUUUGGACGAUUAUUUUGAGUUCAGUACGAUUAUUUUGAGUUCAGUUCCAGUUCGAGCUUGCAGCGGUGGUGACGAGCUUGCAGCGGCGGCGACGAGCAGAGGGGACAGAAGAAGAGAGAAGUGUGGCUGAAGGUCACGACUCGAGCCUGUGGCUGAAGCCUGAAGGUCACAACUCACGAGUUCGAUUUUUGCUUUUGGCUGAAGGUCACGACGAGUAGCGGCCAGCGGGAACCGAAGAAGUCACGACGAGCAGCGAGCCAGCGACCAGCCAGCGGGGGAAUCGAAGAAGACAGAAGUCAGAACUCAGAAGUUUAGAUUUAGAUUUUG